AGAGUUUGAUCCUGGCUCAGGAUGAACGUUGGCGGCGUGCCUAACACAUGCAAGUCGAACGGGUGUAGCAAUACACUAGUGGCGCACGGGUGAGUAACACGUAGCUUAUCUGCCCUCAAGAACGGGAUAACGCGUCGAAAGAAGUGCUAAUACCGUAUAAGCUCACGGGGACUAGAAAACUGUGAGAAAAGCUCCGGCGCUUGAGGAUGAGGCUGCGGCCCAUCAGCUAGUUGGUAAGGUAACGGCUUACCAAGGCGACGACGGGUAGGGGACCUGAGAGGGUGAACCCCCACACUGGGACUGAGACACGGCCCAGACUCCUACGGGAGGCAGCAGUGAGGAAUAUUGCUCAAUGGGCGCAAGCCUGAAGCAGCGACGCCGCGUGGGCGAUGAAGGUCUUCGGAUCGUAAAGCCCUUUUCUGCGUGACGAGGAAGGACGGUAGCGCAGGAAUAAGUGUCGGCUAACUACGUGCCAGCCGCCGCGGUAAUUC
rnacentral:rRNA from 1 species